rnacentral:rRNA from 1 species
CGGCAACAGCUCAAAUUUGAAAUCUGGCCUUCUGGUCCGAGUUGUAAUUUGUAGAGGAUGCUUCGGACGUGGUCCGGUCUAAGUUCCUUGGAACAGGACGUCAUAGAGGGUGAGAAUCCCGUAUGUGACUGGGUGCCUAAGUCCAGGUGAAGCCUCCUUC